GGAACAUAAUGUGGAACCGCGCCCAAAUGAACCGAUAUUAAUAACAGAACACAGAGUAGACGAGGAGGUCGAAGAGGUCCCACAAGGACCAAGGCCGGAUUUGCGACGUUAUAUGGAAAGGUUGGUUAGAGAAGAGAGGAGGAAGCAUGCUUGUAUGAGGUGCAAGGAGUUCGGGCACCUCGGGCACCAGUGCCAUCUGCCCUGGGUGGAGUCCAAAGAAACUCCCGAACAUUAUGCAAGAAGAACCAGG